rnacentral:lncRNA from 1 species
GUGUGUGUUCUACGGUCCUUGAACUAAACACAGACCACAAGGAGGAGAAGCAGACUUGUACCCUUGACACAGACAUGAAGGAAUGAGGAACAAGCUGGGGCCAAAGGAACACACUGUGGGUCACAGUCAGGGCUGGACAGCAGGGCCAGAGGAGCCAGAGGAGAUCUCUGCAGAGACAUCUAUGUGGGGAAGAAAAACAAUAGGGUCUUGAAUGGAACAGGAAGGAAGGUUGAAAUGUUCCAUUCUGAAGAAAGCGUGAGCCCCAGCAAGCAGAAGGUGUACUGAUUCUCAGCCCCCACAUCUGUGCACAUGUUUGCAG